rnacentral:rRNA from 1 species
GAUGAACGCUGGCGGCGUGCCUAAUACAUGCAAGUCGAGCGAACGGACGAGAAGCUUGCUUCUCUGAUGUUAGCGGCGGACGGGUGAGUAACACGUGGAUAACCUACCUAUAAGACUGGGAUAACUUCGGGAAACCGUAGCUAAUACCGGAUAAUAUUUUGAACCGCAUGGUUCAAAAGUGAAAGACGGUCUUGCUGUCACUUAUAGAUGGAUCCGCGCUGCAUUAGCUAGUUGGUAAGGUAACGGCUUACCAAGGCAACGAUGCAUAGCCGACCUGGGAGGGUGAUAGGCCACACUGGAACUGAGACACGGUCCAGACUCCUACGGGAGGCAGCAGUAGGGAAUCUUCCGCAAUGGGCGAAAGCCUGACGGAGCAACGCCGCGUGAGUGAUGAAGGUCUUCGGAGCGUAAAACUCUGUUAUUAGGGAAGAACAUAUGUGUAAGUAACUGUGCACAUCUUGACGGUACCUAAUCAGAAAGCCACGGCUAACUACGUG